AAUCCUACGGGGGGCAGCAGUGAGGAAUAUUGGUCAAUGGACGCAAGUCUGAACCAGCCAUGCCGCGUGCAGGAAGACGGCUCUAUGAGUUGUAAACUGCUUUUGUACGAGGGUAAAUCCCGAUACGUGUAUCGGGUUGAAAGUAUCGUACGAAUAAGGAUCGGCUAACUCCGUGCCAGCAGCCGCGGUAAUACGGAGGAUGCGAGCGUUAUCCGGAUUUAUUGGGUUUAAAGGGUGCGUAGGCGGAAUGCCAAGUCAGCGGUAAAAUCGCGGGGCUCAACCUCGCUCCGCCGUUGAAACUGGCG
rnacentral:rRNA from 1 species